GGCGCCAUCGUCUAGGGGUCAGGACACAUGGUUCUCAGCCAUGGAACCGGGGUUCAAAUCCCCGUGGCGCUACCA
rnacentral:tRNA from 4 species